rnacentral:rRNA from 1 species
CUACCCUAAAGACGAGGAUAACCAUUGGAAACAGUGGCUAAGACUGGAUAGGAAGAUAAAAGGCAUCUUUUAUCUUUUAAAAGACCUAGUAAUAGGUAUGCUUUAGGAGGGGCUUGCGCCAUAUUAGUUAGUUGGUAGGGUAAUGGCCUACCAAGACGAUGAUGUGUAGCUGGACUGAGAGGUUGAACAGCCACAUUGGGACUGAGACACGGCCCAAACUCCUACGGGAGGCAGCAGUAGGGAAUUUUCGGCAAUGGAGGAAACUCUGACCGAGCAACGCCGCGUGAAUGACGAAGUACUUCGGUAUGUAAAGUUCUUUUAUCAAGGAAGAAAAGCAAAUGGCGAACCAUUUGUUUGCCGGUACUUGAUGAAUAAGCCCCGGCUAAUUAUGUGCCAGCAGCCGCGGUAAGACAUAAGGGGCAAGUGUUAUCCGGAAUUAUUGGGCGUAAAGGGUGCGUAGGCGGUCUAGUAAGUCAGUGGUGUAAUGGCAACGCUUAACGUUGUCCGGCUAUUGAAACUGCUAAACUUGAGUUAGAUAGAGGCGAGUGGAAUUCCAUGUGUAGCGGUAAAAUGCGUAAAUAUAUGGAGGAACACCAGAGGCGUAGGCGGCUCGCUGGGUCUUAACUGACGCUGAGGCACGAAAGCGUGGGGAGCAAACAGGAUUAGAUACCCUGGUAGUCCACGCCGUAAACGAUGAGUACUAAGUGUCGGGUUAAACCGGUACUGAAGUUAACACAUUAAGUACUCCGCCUGAGUAGUACGUACGCAAGUAUGAAACUUAAAGGAAUUGACGGGACUCCGCACAAGCGGUGGAUCAUGUUGUUUAAUUCGAAGAUACCCGAAAAACCUUACCAGGUCUUGACAUGUUUUUGCAAAAUGAUAGUAAUAUCGUGGAGGUUACCAGAAACACAGGUGGUGCAUGGUUGUCGUCAGCUCGUGUCGUGAGAUGUUAGGUUAAGUCCUAAAACGAGCGAAACCCUUAUCGUUAGUUGCCAGCACGUUAUGGUGGGGACUUUAACGAGACUGCCAAUGAUAAAUUGGAGGAAGGUGAGGAUCACGUCAAAUCAGCAUGCCCCUUAUGACCUGGGCUACAAACGUGAUACAAUGGCUGUUACAAAGGGUAGCUGAAACGCAAGUUCUUGGCCAAUCCCCAAAAACAGUCCCAGUCCGGAUUGAAGUCUGCAACUCGACUUCAUGAAGUUGGAAUCGCUAGUAAUCGCGAAUCAGCAUGUCGCGGUGAAUACGUUCUCGGGGUUUGUACACACCGCCCGUCAAACCACGAAAGUUGGCAAUACCCCAAAACGGUAGCCUAACUCGUUUAUUCRAGAGGGCGCCGUCUAAGGUAGGGUCGAUGAUUGGGGUUAAGUCGUAACAAGGUAUCCCUACCGGAAGGUGGGGAUGGAUCA